GCUAGUUAUUCACAUUAUAUCAGUUUUACUAAUUUAUUCAAUCCUUUUUCCACGAGGAAAACAGAACUUUCAUUAAUCGGUAAAAAAGAUCGUUUAUUGUAAGUCGAAUGAAGGUUGUGAAGAACUCUUGGAGACUCAUUUGACAUGACAGACGGAGUAAGAUGGGUUCAAAUUUUCCAUGUAAGGAAAAGGUAAGACUGUCAUUGAUCAGCCAUGAGUGCAGGAGCUGGACGAAGAAUGUACAUGUUCGGGCCAUAACAGACCAAGCGGGUUAAGGGUCUACCAGUGUUGAAUUUUUGAAACUCUAUUUUUCCGCUUAGGCCGGCUAACUGAGAGAGACUUGUAAUAAAGUUUGUAAAUAUUUUUGGGAUCCCAACUAUUGUAAGUUUAAAUUAUUACAAGUUUUAUUUUCAUUUCGUUUAU